rnacentral:rRNA from 1 species
GUUGAGCUUGACUCUAGUCCGACGUUGUGAAAUGACUUAUGAGGUGUAGGAUAGGCGGGAGGCUUGCGCCGACGGUGAAAUACCGCCACUCGUAAUGUUGUUUUACUUAUUCCAUGAAGUAGUGUCUGUGCGCCCUCGCGGGCUCACAGUUCUGGCCCAAGGCCAGGUGUACUCCUGGCUGAGCUACGUGGGAGACAACGUCAGGUGGGGAGUUUGGCUGGGGGGGCACAUCUGAAAAGAUAACGCAGGUGUCCUAAGUUGAGCUCAAUGAGAACGGAA